AUUGAACGCUGGCGGUAUGCUUAACACAUGCAAGUCGAACGGCAGCAUGGUGUGUAGCAAUACACACUGAUGGCGAGUGGCGGACGGGUGAGAAACGCGUAGGAAUCUGCCUUAUAGAGGGGGACAACUAGAGGAAACUCUAGCUAAUACCGCAUAAUGUCUGCGGACCAAAGGUUGGGUAGCAAUACCUGACGCUAUAAGAGGAGCCUGCGUCCGAUUAGCUAGUUGGUAGGGUAAGAGCCUACCAAGGCGAUGAUCGGUAGCUGGUCUGAGAGGAUGAUCAGCCACACUGGGACUGAGACACGGCCCAGACUCCUACGGGAGGCAGCAGUGGGGAAUAUUGGACAAUGGGGGCAACCCUGAUCCAGCAAUACCGCGUGUGUGAAGAAGGCCUUCGGGUUGUAAAGCACUUUAGGUUGGGAAGAAGGUGUAUUGUUUAAGAGAUGAUACAUUUGACGGUACCAACAGUAUAAGCACCGGCUAACUCUGUGCCAGCCGCCGCUGUAA
rnacentral:rRNA from 1 species